GUGAAUCAUCAAAUUUUUGAACGCAAAUUGCACUCUCUGGUAUUCCGGUGAGUAUGCCUGUUUGAUAGUCAGUGAAAAUAAAAAUCGAUGUGAUCGCGGCCUUUCGUGUGGACGCGCUGGACUUGGGUCGUCGAGCCUUCGGGGAAGUGACCUAAAAUUUCGCAUGAUUUUGUCGAACGUAUUUAACUGAUUUUACGUACGUUUGCGAUAUCUAUUACUAGUUGCGGUCAUCCUCAUGAUUCUCGUCG
rnacentral:misc_RNA from 1 species